rnacentral:rRNA from 1 species
AGAGUUUGAUCCUGGCUCAGGACGAACGCUGGCGGCGCGCCUAACACAUGCAAGUCGAACGGAGUCAAGAGGAGCUUGCUUUUCUUGACUUAGUGGCGAACGGGUGAGUAACGCGUGAGUAACCUGCCCUGGAGUGGGGGACAACAGUUGGAAACGACUGCUAAUACCGCAUAAGCCCACGGAUUCGCAUGGAUCUGCGGGAAAAGGAUUUAUUCGCUUCAGGAUGGACUCGCGUCCAAUUAGCUAGUUGGUGAGGUAACGGCCCACCAAGGCGACGAUUGGUAGCCGGACUGAGAGGUUGAACGGCCACAUUGGGACUGAGACACGGCCCAGACUCCUACGGGAGGCAGCAGUGGGGGAUAUUGCACAAUGGGGGAAACCCUGAUGCAGCGACGCCGCGUGGAGGAAGAAGGUUUUCGGAUUGUAAACUCCUGUCGUUAGGGACGAUAAUGACGGUACCUAACAAGAAAGCACCGGCUAACUACGUGCCAGCAGCCGCGGUAAAACGUAGGGUGCAAGCGUUGUCCGGAAUUACUGGGUGUAAAGGGAGCGCAGGCGGACCGGCAAGUUGGAAGUGAAAACUAUGGGCUCAACCCAUAAAUUGCUUUCAAAACUGCUGGCCUUGAGUAGUGCAGAGGUAGGUGGAAUUCCCGGUGUAGCGGUGGAAUGCGUAGAUAUCGGGAGGAACACCAGUGGCGAAGGCGACCUACUGGGCACCAACUGACGCUGAGGCUCGAAAGCAUGGGUAGCAAACAGGAUUAGAUACCCUGGUAGUCCAUGCCGUAAACGAUGAUUACUAGGUGUUGGAGGAUUGACCCCUUCAGUGCCGCAGUUAACACAAUAGUAAUCCACCUGGGGAGUACGACCGCAAGGUUGAAACUCAAAGGAAUUGACGGGGGCCCGCACAAGCAGUGGAGUAUGUGGUUUAAUUCGAAGCAACGCGAAGAACCUUACCAGGUCUUGACAUCCGAUGCAUAGUGCAGAGAUGCAUGAAGUCCUUCGGGACAUCGAGACAGGUGGUGCAUGGUUGUCGUCAGCUCGUGUCGUGAGAUGUUGGGUUAAGUCCCGCAACGAGCGAACCCUUAUUGCCAGUUACUACGCAAGAGGACUCUGGCGAGACUGCCGUUGACAAAACGGAGGAAGGUGGGGAUGACGUCAAAUCAUCAUGCCCUUUAUGACCUGGGCUACACACGUACUACAAUGGCGUUUAACAAAGAGAAGCAAGACCGCGAGGUGGAGCAAAACUCAAAAACAACGUCUCAGUUCAGAUUGCAGGCUGCAACUCGCCUGCAUGAAGUCGGAAUUGCUAGUAAUCGCGGAUCAGCAUGCCGCGGUGAAUACGUUCCCGGGCCUUGUACACACCGCCCGUCACACCAUGAGAGCCGGGGGGACCCGAAGUCGGUAGUC